rnacentral:lncRNA from 1 species
UAUAUAAUUGAGCUCCUAUGCUUUUAAAAGUACCAAGUUAUUGGUAUCUACAUAAUUGAGCUCCUAUGCUUUUAAAAGUACCAAGUUACUGGUGCUUGUAGAUUUUUAGCCAUUGGAUUAAGAGAUAUGCGGUUAGGAUGAUAUGGGCCCCUUAGGGUUGAGUGGGUGGUUGGUUGAAUAAUAUAAUCUAAUAGUUGAAAAUGAUCCGAAAAGUAGAUCUAACGAUAAAAAACUUACAAAUACCAAGUACUUAGUGCUUUUACAAGCACCAUAGCUGGACUUAUAUAUAUAU